UACAGUCGUCAGUGUGUUUCCACUCCCUCUGUAGGCACGUUCAGUGGGCUGCGUAUUGGAGAAGUACAGUCUGUAGGAGAGCUGUCCAGACCAGAGUUUAUCAUACACCCUCACCGCUACUUCAACCAUAGAGCCAAUACCAGCCCAAUAAUGACACCUCUACCUGCCAACACUGAGGUGGUGAAGGCUGCCUUUGACGAGCGGAGUCUGUUCCCUAAAGAGCUUCUGGAUGAAGAGGACAGGCCUAGCCAUGGAGCCAGGAAACAGGGGAACAGGGAGAACCGGAUCAACGACAGGGGGCGUGGAAGGAAGGACAGACAAAGAAAGGGUGGUUCCUCUGGAACCUUCAAGUGAAGACGUCAUUUAUAUUGUUAUCUACUUUAUUACGUUUUAAUAUGACUUUUUAAAUGUGUGUAAAAUUAAAUCUGAUCAAUCAAGACAAGAGUGUGUUUAUGUCUCUCUGCUUCCUCUCAUGAAAAAGUACUACUAAAUUACUACUACACAAUAUCUACACAAAACCUACUGGUUUUAAUACUUGAUUGCUAUUGAGAUGUGUAGUAAACCAGUAUUGAUUGAUGUAGUAAUUAGUGAUAAAUUGGGACGUUUCACGACUUGUGAGCACUUCAUAUUUCCUACUCAAUUCUGGCAUGUAUUGAUGGAGCUAACCACUAGGCUGAUGGAACAUGGCAUGUAUUGAUGGAACUAACCACUAGGCUGAUGGAACAUGGCAUGUAUUGAUGGAGCUAACCACUAGGCUGAUGGAACAUGCCAGAAUUGAGUAGGAAAUAUGAAGUGCUCACAAGUCGAAUUACAACAAAAUGCCUAUACAUUUCUGCUGUAUGCCGACUGCCAUUUACCUGUGUAGUGUUGUGUCAGUACUGAGUUGCUCCUGAUCCUUUCUCAUUUCCUACAUUAAA